rnacentral:rRNA from 1 species
UACGUAGGGAGCAAGCGUUGUCCGGAUUUACUGGGUGUAAAGGGUGCGUAGGCGGCUUUGCAAGUCAGAAGUGAAAUCCAUGGGCUUAACCCAUGAACUGCUUUUGAAACUGCAGAGCUUGAGUGGAGUAGAGGUAGGCGGAAUUCCCGGUGUAGCGGUGAAAUGCGUAGAGAUCGGGAGGAACACCAGUGGCGAAGGCGGCCUGCUGGGCUCUAACUGACGCUAAGGCACGAAAGCGUGGGUAGCAAACAGG